rnacentral:lncRNA from 1 species
CAUAAACUCCCUGACAAUGUGCAGUCAGUCCAUAAUGAGUGCUUGCUAGACAUCCAGCUUACUCUCGGUCCAUUCAAACUGACAACUCUUAAGUGGAGGAUGUAAUUGACAUGGAGGUACAAAAAGUAUUGGCACCUUAGAGGUGUGUUUCUAUUCAAGAUAAUUUCAAAAUUUCCCCAACUUCUGAGAGAACACCUCCCAUGCAGCUGGUGGAGGAGGAGAGGUGGAAGGAAGAAAGGUAGGAAGGAUGACUACAGUUGGUGGGUGGGGGGGUUGCCCAAUCACUGCCUGUCUCCUCUUACUAUGCAGCUCUAUUCACUCUCAACUCACUCACCAACACAGGGAGAGAAAGCAGACAGUUUAUGGACUAUAUGUUUAAUCUGUGUGAGUUUCAUUGCCUAGUUUCAUUUGCCACCAAGAUGUGUGUAAUGUGUCAUGUGGUCUCUGGUCUGCCGUAUACGACACCAUUACAUUGAUGUCACUCUUCGUCACCUUACAGUAGCUAGGCUAGACUUCUGGCUUGAUAAUGGCUGACAGAACAUGCCCAUACUCACCUCUCGCCUACCUUCUUGACUGACAGCAGACCAAAUGCGGUGAUGUAUUGAUUCAAAACAAAAACAAGAAUGAGUCAACAUGUACAACUGACUCAACACGUAUUUACAUGUUUUGCCAUGAGACAUAUCAAAGUGGAAAUGUAAAUGCAUUUCCCCCCAAAAACCUUCCCUUAUAGUAAAAUCGAAUAAAAAUAAAUGUACGGGAAACACUGAAAUUCUUCAGUAUAUGAAUAGGCUGUAUGCCAGAGACAGUAUUUCUAGUACUGUAGUCAGUCAGAAGACUCCUGUGAUUUCAGGCUAGUUUAGAUUUGGAGGAGCACAGGACUCACGUUCAUCCAGGGAGCGCGAGGGCUCCGCAAGUGAGGUGAUGGAAGAUUAAAGACUAAAACAUCUGGACUUCACAUGUCCACUGGACAGAGAAAAACUCACAAUGGAAAUGCUAUCUGAUAUCCUGUAAGUCUAAUUAGUGACUAUGAAUAAAGGUAGAGUGUUUAUCUGAACACUAUAAGUGAAAACCAUUAGCCGAAAAACGGGACUGGUGUUCAUAUUCUGUAGUAGGACGUUUCGACAGUGGUUUUGA